rnacentral:misc_RNA from 1 species
GGAAGCUUUAACGAAGGUUUUGAGAGAAGGUUUUAAUGUAAAGUACAUGUUUGAUACAAUUACAGUGUGCCAUGGAUGUGAGAAUUCGGGUGGGAUAUGCGGCAGCAACUCUUCUACGUCCGGCUUCACUUGCCUUUGCACUGACCAACGCAAUUCUUAUACUUGUCCAAAAGGCAAUGAUAAGAAUGUGGGAUUGAAAGUUUGUAUAGCUGUUGGGGCAGCUUUUGUAGGUGGAGCCAUAAUGUGUGCAAUUUUCUACAUCUAUCAACGGCGCCACAAGAGAAAAACAUAUGCUCCAUCUUCCUUUGUCU